rnacentral:rRNA from 1 species
CUGAGUACGGCGGAACACGUGAAAUUCCGUCGGAAUCCGGGAGGACCAUCUCCCAAGGCUAAAUACUCCCUAGUGACCGAUAGUGAACCAGUACCGUGAGGGAAAGGUGAAAAGCACCCCGGAAGGGGAGUGAAACAGUUCCUGAAACCGUGUGCCUACAAGUAGUUAGAGCCCGUUAAUGGGUGAUAGCGUGCCUUUUGUAGAAUGAACCGGCGAGUUACGAUUUGUUGCAAGGUUAAGCGGAAAAAGCGGAGCCGUAGCGAAAGCGAGUCUGAAUAGGGCGCAUAAGUAACAGGUCGUAGACCCGAAACCAGGUGAUCUACCCAUGUCCAGGAUGAAGGUAAGGUAAUACUUACUGGAGGUCCGAACCCACGCACGUUGAAAAGUGCGGGGAUGAGGUGUGGGUAGCGGAGAAAUUCCAAUCGAACUUGGAGAUAGCUGGUUCUCUCCGAAAUAGCUUUAGGGCUAGCCUCGAGGUAAAGAGUCAUGGAGGUAGAGCACUGUUUGGACUAGGGGCCCUUCUCGGGUUACCGAAUUCAGAUAAACUCCGAAUGCCAUGUACUUAUACUCGGGAGUCAGACUGCGAGUGAUAAGAUCCGUAGUCGAAAGGGAAACAGCCCAGACCACCAGUUAAGGUCCCCAAAUAUAUGUUAAGUGGAAAAGGAUGUGGGGUUGCUUAGACAACCAGGAUGUUGGCUUAGAAGCAGCCACCAUUGAAAGAGUGCGUAAUAGCUCACUGGUCGAGUGACCCCGCGCCGAAAAUGUACCGGGGCUAAACAUAUUACCGAAACUGUGGAUGAACCUCUUUAGAGGUUCGUGGUAGGAGAGCGUUCUAAGGGCGGUGAAGUCAGACCGGAAGGACUGGUGGAGCGCUUAGAAGUGAGAAUGCCGGUAUGAGUAGCGAAAGAAGGGUGAGAAUCCCUUCCACCGAAUAUCUAAGGUUUCCUGAGGAAGGCUCGUCCGCUCAGGGUUAGUCGGGACCU